GCAAUCUGAAGCUCGCACGCGAACACCGGACGGUGUUUUUGAGCCUGCUCGGCAUUUCGUGGCUGUGGUUCGUCGGGGCGACGUUUCUGUCAUCGUUUUUCCGUUUCGCGAAAGAUGUGCUU
rnacentral:ncRNA from 1 species